GUUGGGCUAAACAGGAUGUGUAUCAUUCAUUGUUCCCCAAAGAAGUGAUGGCCAACGUCUCAAAUCUUGUGGGAGAUGAGGAUGUAGUUUCUCUCAAAACCAAGCACGUCCCAUAUAGCAGGUGAACAACAAUCCUCAUAUUCUGAUAGGAAAGGCACAUGCUUAUACCUCAUCGAUAGGUUCUGCUACGGUGUAAGUUCAUCAUUUCGUUCAAGAAAUCUUCGUUGUAGUUUGCCAUAUUUGUUCAAGAGAUCCUUACUUCAGCUUUCCUUUAUCUAAGUAGAAUUAUAACCAAAAUACUCGUCUUCUAAACUCUAAAAAAUUGAAAUCGAACGAACAAAAAAUUCAUAAAUUGAGUCAUACCUUGGUUGGAGGAUUCAAAACUUCAAAAUCACCAUCCAUCAAUAGAAAAACUUAUUUUUCUCUAUGAGAGCUAUUAGGGUUUUAGUAAGAAUGAACGUAGGAUAAACAAAGAAUGAUCGUAGGAUUUAAUUAUAGUGUUUGGGUUUAUUGAUAAAUUUGAAUUUUAUUAUUAAUUUCAUUUUGUACUUAAUAGUAAUUAUGCAAUAGGGUAAAAUAGACAAUUAACAUUCAAAAUUUUAAGUUUGGUGUAAAAAGAGGUUG
rnacentral:sRNA from 1 species